rnacentral:rRNA from 1 species
CCUACGGGUGGCUGCAGUGAGGAAUAUUGGUCAAUGGUCGUAAGACUGAACCAGCCAAGUAGCGUGCAGGAUGAAGGCCCUAUGGGUUGUAAACUUCUUUUAUGCGGGGAUAAAAUGCGUCACGUGUGAUUGAUUGUAGGUACCGCAUGAAUAAGGAUCGGCUAAUUCCGUGCCAGCAGCCGCGGUAAUACGGAGGGUGCGGGCGUUAUCCGGAGUUAUUGGGUUUAAAGGGGGCGUAGGCGGGAUGUUAAGUUUGCCGUGAAAUGCCGGGGCUCAACCCCGGCACUGCGGUGGGUACUGGCUGGCUUGAGUGUGAGAGACGUAUGCGGAAUUCGUGGUGUAGCGGUGAAAUGCGUAGAUAUGACGCAGAACUCCGAUUGCGAAGGCAGCAUACCGGCGCGCAACUGACGCUGAGGCUCGAAAGCGCGGGUAUCGAACAGGAUUAGAUACCCUUGUAGUC